ensembl:snRNA Gm24445 predicted gene, 24445
GUGCUCGCUUUGGCAGCACAUACACUAAAAUUGGAACGAUACAGAGAAGAUUAGCAUGGCCCCUGUGCAAGGAUGACGCGCAAAUUUGUGAAGCGUUCCAUAUUUUU